GCGUGAUCAUUGCGUCAUCGGAGCGCGACAGCAGCAGUAUGCUGACAUGGCGGCGUCCGCGGUGCUGAGACGCUUUGCGUGGAUUUGUGUGGGUUUUCUUCUGUGUUGUCUUGUGAGUUCGGUCUCUGCGCUCAUUGAAGGACUGUACUGCGGGACCCAGAGCUGCUAUGACGUGCUCAGCGUCUCUCGUGACGCCGCUAAAGCGGAUAUCGGACGCGCUUACCGACAGCUGGCCCGGAGAUAUCACCCGGACAAAUAUCAGCCCGGCGACGGCGAAGAGACGCGAGAGUCUGCGCAGCAGAAGUUUCUCCUCAUCGCCACCGCAUACGAGACACUCAAGGAUGAAGAGUCACGUAGGGACUACGAUUACAUGCUGGACCACCCAGAGGAAUAUUACAGUCACUACUACACAUAUUACAGGAGAAGACUUGCUCCCAAAGUUGAUGUUAGGAUAGUAAUACUCGUAACUGUUUGUGCAAUUUCACUAUUUCAGUAUUACAGCUGGUGGAGUAGUUACACAGAAGCUAUCAACUACCUGAUGACCGUUCCCAAGUAUCGCAUCCAGGCCACCGAACUGGCCAAACAGCAGGGUCUGCUGAACAGAACCAAAGAGAAGGGAAGGAACCGGCGAUCCAAAGAGGAGAUCCGUGAGGAAGAGGAGCAGAUCAUCAGAGACAUUAUCAAAAACAAAAUAGACAUCAAAGGGGGUUAUCAGAAGCCCAAAAUAUCUGACAUCCUCUUGUGUAAAAUUAUCCUGUUUCCCUACUAUCUGUGCAUCUACGUGGCAUGGUACUGUUCCUGGUUUUAUCGUUUCACCCUCCGCGGGGAAGAGUACGGCGACGAGGAGAAACUUUACCUGAUCCGCAGAUACAUGAAGAUGGCCCAAGCUCAGUUCGAAAGUCUGGACAAUAACCUGAUCGAGACUUUUUUGGAGAAGGAGCUCUGGAUCAAAGACAAGUAUGAGGUCGGGGUUUGACACAGUCAGAGAUUUUCUUAUGUUGUACUGCUUGAGAUGAAACUUUUUCAGGCCUACAAAGAGGAGCAGGAGGAAGAGAUGAAGAUGAAGAUGGCCACGGACUCGAGGUGGAAACGCUACAGACGUUGGAUGAAGAGCGAAGGCCCCGGUCGACUCACGUUUGCUGAGGAUUGACCUCAUUCGCUGUGGCAGAUGUCGCCACAGAUUCACGUCCAGGAAACUGAGCUCAUCUGUGCCUGAACACAAACACACUUGUUUACAAUGACUGAACAUGUGCAUGGGAUUUAAAUGUGCACAUGCCUUUUUACAUGAAGUCACCAUGGCUUUGAGAAUCGAUGGGAACUGAUGUAUUAAUAUUAAAAAUAAAACACCUCUCUUAAAACGUGGAGUUUGACUACAGGUAACCCACCCAGAUGUUUUUACUGUAAAUGUCUUUGCAUCAUCAGGUCCAAAGGACGUCUCUAUAUGUGCAAAUUAAAAUCAUAUGUAUUUGCUCAGUUAUAAGUUUCUGUGGUGCAUCAGUAAAAUGGUAUUUUGAAAGUAUUUUAAUGGAUCGAGUUUAUGGUGUGGAUAGCCAAUGAUGUCAUUUUUAAACAAUGUAAAGAGAGGAUGCAAUAAUAAACCAGCAGUUCAUCACUGCA